rnacentral:tRNA from 1 species
GCUGGAGUAGCUCAGUUGGCUAUAGCAUAUGACUGUUAACCACAAAGUCGAAGAUUCAAACCCUUCCUCCAGCG